rnacentral:rRNA from 1 species
GACGUAGGGCGCGAGCGUUGUCCGGAUUUAUUGGGCGUAAAGAGCUCGUAGGCGGCUUGUCGCGUCGUCCGUGAAAACCCACAGCUCAACUGUGGGCUUGCGGUCGAUACGGGCAGGCUAGAGUUCGGUAGGGGAGACUGGAAUUCCUGGUGUAGCGGUGAAAUGCGCAGAUAUCGGGAAGAACACCCGUGGCUAAGGCGGCUCUCUAGUACGGUACUGACGCUGAGACGCGAAAGCGUGGGGAGCAAACAGG